rnacentral:rRNA from 1 species
UACGUAGGCCGCAAGCGUUGUUCGGAAUUACUGGGCGUAAAGAGUGUGUAGGCGGUGCUCUAAGUCUGUUGUGAAAUCUCCCGGCUUAACCGGGAGGGUGCGGCGGAAACUGGAGUGCUUGAGGGUGGGAGAGGUAAGCGGAAUUCCUGGUGUAGCGGUGAAAUGCGUAGAUAUCAGGAGGAACACCUGUGGUGUAGACAGCUUACUGGACCACUUCUGACGCUGAGACACGAAAGCGUGGGUAGCAAACAGG